GUGGCUGUUGCGCACUCAGAAAAAGAGUCCAGGCCCUCGACAGAUCAUCUGUGUCUGGCUUCGGUCCCUCAGUUCAGAUGGACUCUACAGACCUGCAGGCCUUCUGACCUUGAACAUUAAAGAGAGAAGACAAGCAAACAAACGCAGGAGCGCUCUGCAGCGGACGACUCAUCCUGUCCUGAAACAACAUGGCGAGUGUGGGAUCUUCCUGGCUGCGCUGGGGAACGCUGGUUUCUGUCAUAUUCUGUCUGUUAGCUCAGGGGAACAGCUGGGAGUGUUUGGACAAGGACGAGAUUCUUACUGGAAUGUCCAGGGAUGUUGAGAUGCCAUCUGAGUGUGUGUUAACCUGUACGGCGCUCUCUUACAGGCUGAUCGCAGACAGACAGCAAAAACUAACAGUCCGCUUCAAAGACUCACAUCCCGGCGAGUCGGGUGACUUCUGCUGGUUUAUUCAUCAGAGAUGCAGCACAUGGGAUGAAGUUUUUGUUUUACUGUCAGUCAAUGAAUCCAUUCCGAAUGCAGGAGUGAUUCGACUUCAAACCAACUCUCUGACAAACCUGAACCCCGUUCAGCCCCACGACUCUCCGUCCAUCAUCCCUGACGACUGCGGCGUUCGCUUCCACGUCACGCCGCACCUGAGACACCUGCCACAACACACUCUCUGUGUCAGACUGACAGGCAUCAUGGGAAACCACUUACACUGUCCGCCGUUUCUGGUCAUCAUACGGAAAAAACUGUAGGAGUCUGACUGAUUCUUGAAGGAAUCUAUAAACAUUAUGAGACACAAUGGUAAAGAUUUAGACAGAUAUACUGUUAGAGGCUAGUGGUGUGACAUUUAGGAUAUUGCAUUUCAAUUUAAAUUCAUCUGAAUGAAUGUUUCAGCAAUAUGUGAUUGGUCUUUUUUUUUAGAGAAACAACAUUUGCAGUUUAAUACGCUUUAAAUUUGAAAUAUACAUUUUAUUUUAAUUGACCUUUAUAGCCCUUCUGUUUUAUUCAACAUUUUAUAUUUAGUACACUGAUCAAAGCACUAGAAUGUAGUUCAUGACCCCAUUUAUUUACCAGCCUAUAUAUAUAUAUAGGUAAUAAAUAUCUGGAAGCAAAUCUCUGUGUCUGUUGU
ensembl:lncRNA